rfam:Mycobacterium mageritense, CIP 104973, WGS project CCBF01000000 data, contig: 000001
ACAUUGCCUGCACAUGGCACCGGACGAGGCGGCACCGUACCCGGCCAGCGACAAGACGGAGCCUU